GAUCAUGGCUCAGAUUGAACGCUGGCGGAAUGCUUUACACAUGCAAGUCGAACGGUAGAGGGGGCAACCCUCGAGAGUGGCGAACGGGUGAGUAAUAUAUCGGAACGUGCCCAAGUCGUGGGGGAUAACGUAUCGAAAGGUACGCUAAUACCGCAUACGUCCUACGGGAGAAAGCGGGGGAUCUUCGGACCUCGCGCCAUUAGAUGAGCCUAGGUCGGAUUAGCUAGUUGGUGAGGUAAUGGCUCACCAAGGCGACGAUCCGUAACUGGUCUGAGAGGAUGAUCAGUCACACUGGAACUGAGACACGGUCCAGACUCCUACGGGAGGCAGCAGUGGGGAAUAUUGGACAAUGGGCGAAAGCCUGAUCCAGCCAUGCCGCGUGUGUGAAGAAGGUCUUCGGAUUGUAAAGCACUUUAAGUUGGGAGGAAGGGCAGUAACCUAAUACGUUAUUGUUUUGACGUUACCGACAGAAUAAGCACCGGCUAACUUCGUG
rnacentral:rRNA from 1 species